UACGUAGGGGGCAAGCGUUGUCCGGAAUCAUUGGGCGUAAAGAGCGUGUAGGCGGCCCGAUAAGUCCGCCGUGAAAGUCCAGGGCUCAACCCUGGGAUGCCGGUGGAAACUGUCGGGCUAGAGUCCGGAAGAGGCGAGUGGAAUUCCUGGUGUAGCGGUGAAAUGCGCAGAUAUCAGGAGGAACACCAAUGGCGAAGGCAGCUCGCUGGGACGGUACUGACGCUGAGACGCGAAAGCGUGGGGAGCAAACAGG
rnacentral:rRNA from 1 species